GAUGAACGCUGGCGGCGUGCUUAACACAUGCAAGUCGAACGAAGCACUUUAUUUGAUUUCCUUCGGGACUGAUUAUUUUGUGACUGAGUGGCGGACGGGUGAGUAACGCGUGGGUAACCUGCCUUGUACAGGGGGAUAACAGUUGGAAACGGCUGCUAAUACCGCAUAAGCGCACAGCAUCGCAUGAUGCAGUGUGAAAAACUCCGGUGGUAUAAGAUGGACCCGCGUUGGAUUAGCUAGUUGGUGAGGUAACGGCCCACCAAGGCGACGAUCCAUAGCCGACCUGAGAGGGUGACCGGCCACAUUGGGACUGAGACACGGCCCAAACUCCUACGGGAGGCAGCAGUGGGGAAUAUUGCACAAUGGGCGAAAGCCUGAUGCAGCGACGCCGCGUGAGUGAAGAAGUAUUUCGGUAUGUAAAGCUCUAUCAGCGGGGAAGAUAAUGACGGUACCUGACGAAGAAGCACCGGCUAAAUACGUG
rnacentral:rRNA from 1 species